rnacentral:rRNA from 1 species
GCCUACGGGGGGCAGCAGUAGGGAAUCUUCCACAAUGGGCGAAAGCCUGAUGGAGCAACGCCGCGUGGGUGAAGAAGGUCUUCGGAUCGUAAAACCCUGUUGUUAGAGAAGAAAGUGCGUGAGAGUAACUGUUCACGUUCCGACGGUAUCUAACCAGAAAGCCACGGCUAACUACGUGCCAGCAGCCGCGGUAAUACGUAGGUGGCAAGCGUUAUCCGGAUUUAUUGGGCGUAAAGGGAACGCAGGCGGUCUUUUAAGUCUGAUGUGAAAGCCUUCGGCUUAACCAGAGUAGUGCAUUGGAAACU